GACGGACGCUGGCGGCGUGCUUAACACAUGCCAGUCGAACGAUGACGACCGAGCUUGCUCGGUCUGAUUAGUGGCGAACGGGUGAGUAACACGUGAGCAACCUGCCCUUCACUCUGGGAUAACCUCGGGAAAUCGGGGCUAAUACCGGAUAUGAGCUCCUGUCGCAUGGCGGGUGUUGGAAAGUUUUUCGGUGAAGGAUGGGCUCGCGGCCUAUCAGUUUGUUGGUGAGGUAGUGGCUCACCAAGGCGAUGACGGGUAGCCGGCCUGAGAGGGCGACCGGCAACAGGGGGAAGGAGAGAGGGCGCAGCGUCCGAGGGGAGGAACAGGGGGGGAUUAUGGAACAGGGGGGGAAGGAGUGAGGCAGCGACGGGGGGGGGGGGAGCGGGCCUUUGGGGGUGAAACCCUGUUCCGGCGGGAAAGAAGAGAAAGGGAGGGGACCUAAUAAAGAAGGGCCGGCAAACUAGGUG
rnacentral:rRNA from 1 species